GUGAGGACGGCGUUGGCAGAGAGCCCGGUGCUGGUGGUGGGGAGGCGCGGGUGCUGCCUCAGCCAUUUGGUGAAGCGGCUGCUGCAGGGGCUCGGAGUGAACCCCGCCGUGCACGAGGUCGCCGAUGAGGCCGAGCUCGCCGCGGCGGUGGCCGGGAACACUGGAGGCGAGGUCGUCGUCGCGCUGCCGGCGGUGUUCAUCGGUGGGAGGCUCCUCGGCGGGCUCGACCGGCUCAUGGCCGUGCACAUCUCCGGCGAGCUCAUGCCCAUACUCAAGGACGCCGGCGCGCUCUGGCUCUGA
rnacentral:rRNA from 1 species